rnacentral:rRNA from 1 species
GAUGAACGCUAGCUACAGGCUUAACACAUGCAAGUCGAGGGGAAACGACAUUGAAGCUUGCUUCGAUGGUCGUCGACCGGCGCACGGGUGAGUAAUGCGUAUCCAACCUGCCUCUGACCAAGGGAUAACCCGUCGAAAGUCGGCCUAAUACCUUAUGCAGUCGUCGGAAGUCAUCUGAUGACGACGAAAGAUUUCAUCGGUGAGAGAUGGGGAUGCGUCUGAUUAGCUUGUUGGCGGGGUAACGGCCCACCAAGGCAACGAUCAGGAGGGGUUCUGAGAGGAAGGUCCCCCACAUUGGAACUGAGACACAGUCCACACUCCUACGGGAGGCAGCAGUGAGGAAUAUUGGGCAAUGGGCGAUGGCCUGAACCAGCCAAGCAGCGUGCAGGAUGACGGCCCUAUGGGUUGUAAACUGCUUUUAUGCGGGGAUAAAGUGAGGGACGAGUCCUUCAUUGAAGGUACCGAAUGAAUAAGGACCGGCUAACUCCGUG